AAAUAAAUUCGGUGCAAAAUUGAAAGAGUUUUGGAUUUCUAAAACUCUAUGUCAUAGAAUUCGAAAUCCAAACUUAUUCCUUUUUGAUUUGAUCCAAACCACCUUCCAUGUAAGAAAGAAGAGAGGAGACCUUUUGUGAACAUGGGAGAGACCUGGGAGAGGGCUUUUAUCACACAAAAUAAGAGGAGAAUGGCAUUGAAUGAGAGAGAGGGCGUGGGGAAGGCUUAUGUGGUGCAAGGUGGAAUCCUAGUCUUACUAGGAUUCUAUCUUAUGACUUGUUUUAAUUUGGUUUCUCAAACCAAAUCAAACUAAAAUUAGAUCAACCCAAUUAAAAUAGGUCUUAACC
rnacentral:lncRNA from 1 species